ACUAAACAGUCGGUACUGUGGUGCUUGUGUGUGUGUGUAGGUUUUUUUUUUCUUUCUGCGUGCUGUCUGCUUUGGCGCAGCUAAAAUAAUUUGUAGUUGGUGUCUUGGCGAGCCCUGCGGCUUUAAUUCCUGGACGCUGUGCUCUUGGCGGCCCCGGACUGGCGCGGAGGAACGCACUGCGAGAGGUGUGGUACAAGAGCCACCCGACUGCACGGCAUCGCAUCAAUGUGCCCGCGCGCAGUAUUGCAGAGCUUGAAAUCACGAACAAAAGAAUUGGCUACGUUGGCAGCGCCACGCAACGGCUUUCACAAGCACCACAGCUUCUCUCCUUGAAAAAGUGAAAGGUUCCCGCGAGUCCACCAGCGUCGUGGUCUGGUCCUGGUCGUUAACGUCGGCUGGAGGAGGUGACAAAUUACCGUGUGCGACGAUGUGAUUACCUGAGGGCUUCCCGGUGAGAUAAGUGAUCAGUGACCCAAGUUGACGUCAAAAAAUGGUGAUUGACAAGCGGCAGAUGCCUGUUGGUAAUGGGGCACAUAACCAUGCAGUGGCACACAUUAAGCGGGCCCAUGGAUACACUUCCAGUGGUCCUGAAGGAUCAGUCUGGGACUGAUGCGGGCCGCUCCCACGUCGGUACAGAGAGGCCGAGCCCCUCUGCCGUAACACGGGCCCUCUGGACAGCCCUGAGUUGGUCCGCCAGCACUUCACUGUGCAGCAUCCGCUGCGGUCAUCCGAUGCCGAGGAAAUGG